rnacentral:lncRNA from 1 species
CUUCAACCGACUUGCGAAAUGUCCAAACAGCUCCAGCUGCUACCUAAGAUGAUAACACGCGGACGAUAAAGGAAUGAAGGGUAUGUCUGCUUCACUACGAUUGACAAAACUUGCACAUCUACUUUCAAGCUGGUGAAAGCACGACUUCAAGAUGUAAGCUAAGAAAGAAGAUGGUAAUUUCCGGCCACAAGUGUCAGAAUCUUAAAAUUAGGGUUGAAGAGAAAUAUACGUCUCCUUGCGGUAAAGCAGAAUACAGCACGGCAUUUUGCUUCAUAUACGUGUUAUUCAAAAGACAACAACAGUUUAAAGCCAAAGAAACCCAAUCUAACAAAUUGUGUCAAUCGUUGGACAUUCUACAUCAUGAUCUGUUAUAUCGUUUGGAAAUUCUCCCCUUUGCUGAUGAACUACCUUCUAUCAUUUAAUGGAUAUUUAACUAGAACAGAACGGAAGAGAACAGAACAGAACGGACCAGAACAGAACUCUCAGUCAGCAUUUACAUCUCUGUAAACGGCAUCGAUAUUGCCAUUUAAUUUAUCAUAUAUUUAUCGAUUUAUAACUGGUAUUCUGCGGACUCCGUAAUUGAUACAUUGACAUUUUCUUGACAAAAUAUUGAUAAAUCAGUUGAUAGACCGAUAUCGAUGUUGGAUUUUGCUGUUAUCCGAAUUCAGAAAGCAGCAUAAUACAAUAAGUACAAUGAUUAUCACGAUUUAUAAAAAAAUGUUUCACCUAGAGUUAUUUCGACAUAGGAAAUUCUACACGUCUGACAAACCGGAAGUAAAGGCAUGACGUCAUUUAACCGGAAAUGUAACACUAAACCUGGACUCAGCAUGUGGAUUCUCCUUUUCGUUUGCCUAAUUUUCUUAAAAAUAUCUAUGGAUUUGAAAACUUAAGAUUUUCACAAUUUGAGCAAACUUCAACAACAACAACUACAAAACCACCAUAAUGUAAAUUCUGUAUGUUUUUUAUGCAAAUGUAUCAAGAGGAUACAUGUACAUUUUUUAUAUAAAUGUGUACAUGAUAUUUUAAAUUAAUUGUUAAGAAUAUUAUUUACAUUUGUGAUAUAAUAGAUGAAUCUAAUAUAAUGAAGUUAUACAUAUCUAUGUUUUAUUUGAUAAUUGCAACUUUUUGCUACCUCAGACAGUGUCUUGGAUACCUUAACAUCAUUAAGCUCGUUUCGUGCAAG